UACAAAAGCCAUGGAAGCCUUCAACCACCGAACCCUGAUUGCUUCACCAUGAUUGUCCAGGUUGAGCAGCAUUAUUCGACUUGAAUUACAAUCCCGCUACACAUACACGCCGCUUUAACUGUUGGGUUACACGAUGACGUGGCAAAGAAAACUUAUUAAUGGGUAACAUGUCUUGAACCGGCGCAAAUUGAAGAAACCCGCUUACCCUCGCUUUCUUUCACUUUCUCAGUUGCCCCAAAGGCAGAAAACCCUCUCUAACAAACGAACUGAUACAAGGAGAUCUGCGGGUGCGCUCCACCAUAUUGAGAAGACGGUGAUAAAUAUAGUGGUCAUCUCCAUGGUUUUGUUUUCCACCCGAAGUUAAGCGCACGGUUGUGAGGAAAAAAAUAUUUAGCCGCAAGAUUGGAGCAAAGUCGCCCGUUGCUUAGGCCUUCUUCUCCGGUGGAAUCUUGAGCAAUAUUAUUAUGCCGAGUAAGAACUCUGGUCUUUGUCAUAACUGUAAAGAGAAGGUCCACUUGUUUGCGGAUUGCCCGGACAAAAGGCGAUGCCCCUUGGGUAAAAGUGGAUUUGUGAAGUGCUUCGAGGUCGAGAGGGAGACGAAGAAUAAGGGAAGACUGUUCAAUUGCUGCAAUGCUAACUGUAAAUAUUGGGCAUGGGUCGAUGAGGGAGAAUCAAGCUAUGGAUCAAGUGAUGUUACCAUUAACUCGAAUAAUCAUGCAGCAAUCGACCAAGUUUAGGAGUUCUCUUGCAUGUUCUAGUCUCUUUGUCAUGUGGUGUCCGAGGAACGAGACAUUGAGAUUUCUUUGAACGUGACUAUAAGGAAGGCCAACGAAAGUGCGGGAGUUGAUGUGAAAGGGAAGGGGCCAGCAUGAGUAAUGGUUAUAUUUUCUUAUGAAAAGGAAGGGGCCAACAAAAUGUGGUGUUAUUUUUAGUUCAUGUGUAAUAUGUGCCGUUGGUGAGCCGAACAAGUCAUUGUAAUAUAUUUGCUUUCGAUGUUUGAAUCGCUAUGUUAACGAUGUCGGUGUUAAUAGUAGCGGACUAGAAUUUGUCUUGUUUGUUAUAUUAUUUGUGUUC